rnacentral:rRNA from 1 species
GAUGAACGCUGGCGGCGUGCCUAAUACAUGCAAGUCGAGCGAACAGACGAGGAGCUUGCUCCUCUGACGUUAGCGGCGGACGGGUGAGUAACACGUGGAUAACCUACCUAUAAGACUGGGAUAACUUCGGGAAACCGGAGCUAAUACCGGAUAAUAUAUUUAACCGCAUGGUUCAAUAGUGAAAGACGGUUUUGCUGUCACUUAUAGAUGGAUCCGCGCCGCAUUAGCUAGUUGGUAAGGUAACGGCUUACCAAGGCAACGAUGCGUAGCCGACCUGAGAGGGUGAUCGGCCACACUGGAACUGAGACACGGUCCAGACUCCUACGGGAGGCAGCAGUAGGGAAUCUUCCGCAAAGGGCGAAAGCCUGACGGAGCAACGCCGCGUGAGUGAUGAAGGUCUUCGGAUCGUAAAACUGUGUUAUUAGGGAAGAACAAAUGUGUAAGUAACUAUGCACGUCUUGACGGUACCUAAUCAGAAAGCCACGGCUAACUACGUG